rnacentral:lncRNA from 1 species
CCUGCAGCUCAGAAACCCCUCCACUCCCCCACAGGGACAGAGAGCUACUACAGCCAGCCCUGCCCGGUGGGGCACUACUGUCCUGCCAGGACCCCCACCCCCAGGCCCUGCCCACCUGGAACCUUCCGGAACAGCAGCCAGGCAGGCAGAGUGGGAGAGUGCCUGCCCUGCCCCACAGGCACCUUCAGCUCCCAGCCAGGCCAGGCAGGCUGCCUGCCCUGCGGGAGUUCUGCCUUCUCUCCACCAGGUGCCUCCCACUGCACGUGUCGGGGCCUGAACAGGGUCUUUCAGAAGUCGGACGGCUCCUGCAUCUGCCAGGCGGGAUAUAAGUCCUAUGACGAUGAUGAGAGCAGCAGUGAAGAGGAUUGUCAGCCCCAGGUCGUGGAGCGCUGCCCACCUGGGGAAGUCCUCUUGGCUGCCACCCGUACCUGUGUGUCCCCCCGGCAGCACAACUGCUCUUCCUUCUGUCACCCGGCGGGAGGCCAGCUCAACACGAAGCUGGGCAUCUGCCAGUGCCGAGAAUACAUCUCCGCAGAGGAGCUCUGUGACGCCCAGUGUCUGGCCAGGGCUGCCCGGCUCUCCCUGGCCUGGGGGCCCAGCAGGAAGCUGAUCCUCAGCAUGAAGGAUGAGGCUGCAGGCAGCAUCCAGAGGGUCCACCUGUGUCCAGCUCAAGGCAGCAGAGGCAACCUUGGACCCCAGGCCCGGGGCACCGUGCCCCACAGGAUCCCAGCAUCCACCCCCACAUUCCAAACCCAGUGGUCUGCCUGGCAGCAGGGGACGUGGUUCUUUUCCAGCUUCACAUUCUUCCCUACAAUCGUUCGGCCAGUCACUACCCCGUGUACCAGACACAGCACCUGUUCAACAGCAACCCCCACUGGGACUUCGGGGCCUUCAGGCAGCUCGAACACCUGGUGCGGGAGACCCACCUCAGCUUCUCCAGGUGACUGUGGUGAGGCUACCUGGUUCCUGGAGUGUAGGUCACAGCCUCUCCAGAGUGGCGCCAGGAGGGCACGGGGGAGACUAGGGGCUUCAGACCAUGUCAGGGGUCGGGGUCAUGGGCAGCUUCCCUGGGCCACAUUACUCUAG